rnacentral:rRNA from 1 species
GGAUAACGUGCCCUUGGGACCGGCAUAACCCCGGGAAACUGGGGAUAAUUCCGGAUAACGCAUAUUUGCUGGAAUGCUUUAUGCGUCAAAAGGAUUCGUCUGCCCAAGGAUGGGUCUGCGGCCUAUCAGGUAGUAGUGGGUGUAAUGUACCUACUAGCCAGCGACGGGUACGGGUUGUGAGAGCAAGAGCCCGGAGAUGGAUUCUGAGACAUGAAUCCAGGCCCUACGGGGCGCAGCAGGCGCGAAAACUUUACAAUGCGGGAAACCGUGAUAAGGGGACACCGAGUGCCAGCAUCAUAUGCUGGCUGUCCGGAUGUGUAAAAUACAUCCGUUAGCAAGGGCCGGGCAAGACCUGUGCCAGCCGCCGCGGUAACACCGGCGGCCCGAGUGGUGAUCGUGAUUAUUGGGUCUAAAGGGUCCGUAGCCGGUUUGGUCAGUCCUCCGGGAAAUCUGAUAGCUCAACUAUUAGGCUUUCGGGGGAUACUGCCAGACUUGGAACCGGGAGAGGUAAGAGGUACUACAGGGGUAGGAGUGAAAUCUUGUAAUCCCUGUGGGACCACCUGUGGCGAAGGCGUCUUACCAGAACGGGUUCGACGGUGAGGGACGAAAGCUGGGGGCACGAACCGGAUUAGAUACCCGGGUAGUCCCAGCCGUAAACGAUGCUCGCUAGGUGUCAGGCAUGGCGCGACCGUGUCUGGUGCCGCAGGGAAGCCGUGAAGCGAGCCACCUGGGAAGUACGGCCGCAAGGCUGAAACUUAA